rnacentral:rRNA from 1 species
GACAGAGGGUGCAAACGUUGUUCGGAAUUACUGGGCGUAAAGCGCGUGUAGGCGGCUAAGUAAGUCGGGCGUGAAAUCCCACGGCUCAACCGUGGAAGUGCACUCGAAACUGCAUAGCUAGAGUCCUGGAGAGGAAGGUGGAAUGCUUGGUGUAGAGGUGAAAUUCGUAGAUAUCAAGCGGAACACCGGUGGCGAAGGCGGCCUUACUGGACAGUGACUGACGCUGAGUACGGC